rnacentral:rRNA from 1 species
UUGGUGGCAGGCAGCCGGUGGGUGGUGAUCAGCAAUGACUCUGCCUAUUGUGUUAGCUUGUCUCCCGGCCGCACUUUCCCCACGGUUUACGGCAGGAACUGUUGGGUCUGGACCUAAGGCCUGGGAUGAAGUUGCCGGCCCUUACGGGCUUGUAGCUCCCGGUGUCCUGGCUUCGGAUCCGACAGGCCAUGAGCGGACUUGUAUAGCAAGCGACAGCCUGUUGCGGUUCGCCUCUCUCUG